UCUCUGUCCAAGCAAGCCCCUCCUAGCUCCUUGCUAGAGAGCGCGAACUUUCCUAGGAUCUCAGCCAGAUCCUCAGCCAUGGAGUCCCUGAGAGAUCCUUGGGUAUUCCACCAACCAAGAGUAGCCGAGCACUAUGUUACUGACUGGGGCUGUAGAAGAAAGCAGAGAUACGAAACUACCGAACCUAUACAGAGAAAGAAGUAAAGAAAGACGAAAAGCAGAAAAGAAAAGCACAAGGAAAGCUAAACACAAGGUAGGAGACCCAGCAAAAUUAUCGCGUGCGUAAAGUAGAUGUUUCAUGCAUCAAAGUUCCUUAUGCUUUAAUUCGGAGAAGGAAACUGAUUUUGGUUUGUGUUUGCUUCAGACGUAGAAGUUUAGAAGUUUGAGGUUUUGGGAUUUGAAGUUUGAAAUUUUGAAAAAGGUGUGACUUUUUCAGCGCUCCCACCAAAAGGGAGAGCAGCUCUCAAUGAAGAGAGAGAAAGCUCUCAUAAGAGAGAGAUCUCAAAAAUUGGGUUAGAGAUCCACCGAAGUGGGUAGCCUUAACCGGAUGUGUUGGUAACAGGUAAAGCCCGAAGGCUGUUCCCGUCCCUGUCGGGGGAGAUGCCAACCAUCUCUCCUUUCUACGAACACAGGAUUAUGAUGUGUUUUGUAAUGCAAGAUUGGAUGUUUUUCAAGGAAGCCUUUGCUUGCUUCGUCACCAAGAUCAUGAAGACACGGAAGUAUCAAGUGUGGGUUGUGAUUUGUGAAGGAUUAUGGAAUCAGAAAGUCUUGGAGUAAGAAGUUCUGCAUCCCACGUAAUAGAUCCCCAAGGCAUAUGGUCUCUAAACUUGUCUGUUUCUUAGAACACAAUGAAGUUUUAGUGAUCUGUCGAUCGAAUUUGGCAUUUCACAAUGUUAAGGAUAAUUGCUUCAGGGAUGUCCUGUUUAGGACAUUUGAUGCCUGUGUUUAUGCUGAAAGUCUGAUUUCACCAACUGCUAAUAAUGGAUUUGAGAGGCCCCAGCUGCAAGGCAGGCUAAAAAACAAAGAUGAGAUCAUUGGAUGUUAGUUUAAGCACUAUAACCAAGUUCUGGUUGUUAAUUCCCUUACUUCGAGAAUGGCCUUUUCUUCGGGUCUCAACAUGCGCUGAGAAAGCUGGAGUUGAGAUUGGCUUUCACAAGAUUUGACAGAUAGGCUGCUGCAAGGAGUUUUGGCUUGCUUCUGCAAAGAACCUCAUUUAUAUGAUCUAUAGAAUGAAGGUUGAUAAUUUCUUUUUCUCAUUGUUCAUAGAAUUGGCACUAAUGAUCUGAAGAUUGAAAGUUAUAUUGUUUUGGGUAUGGAAUUAGCUCUGCAAAAUAGUCAUAAUUGUGUGGAUGGCUA